UACGUAGGGUGCGAGCGUUAAUCGGAAUUACUGGGCGUAAAGCGUGCGCAGGCGGUUUUGUAAGCCAGAUGUGAAAUCCCCGGGCUUAACCUGGGAAUGGCAUUUGGGACUGCAAGGCUCGAGUGCGGCAGAGGAGACUGGAAUUCCUGGUGUAGCAGUGAAAUGCGUAGAUAUCUGGAGGAACACCGGUGGCGAAGGCGGUUCUCUGGGCCUUACCUGACGCUGAGGAGCGAAAGCAUGGGGAGCGAACAGG
rnacentral:rRNA from 1 species